CUUUCUGUGAAAACCUUAUUUUGAAUCAGAGCUCUCAACCCUUAACACAUGCCCACAGAUCUCUCUCUCUCAACCCUCUCCAUCGAAGCUCCAUCGAAGCUUAAAUAAAAAAAGAUUCAGAUCGAAGCCCCGAUCUGAACAAAACCUGAUUCAGAUCCAUCGAAGCUUAAAUCACUCUCUCUUGCUUCAAACCCUUUCGUUUCUCUCGAUUCGCAGAUCAGUCUUAUCUCUAUCUCUAGUUCAUGUUCGAGUUCGCAGGUCUUUCUUCAUGGUUUGCUAGGUUUUAUCUAGAUCAGAUCGAUCGAUUAAAGAUCUAUUGAUUGAUUGAACGUGAUUUCGAAGUUCAACCUUCUUCAGCUCGGUGAUUCAAUCUCAGAUUCGUUCGGCGAUUUCGAAGUUCUCUCUCGAUUUCAAAGCUCGGUGAUUCAAUCUCAGAUUCGUUCAGUGAGGAAAGUGAGCACACAUCAUCUACCAAGGCUCUUUAUAUAUCUUGGCUAAAUAAUUCCAUUAGCAGACCCGAAGUCGUGCCCAAAAUACUUUUGAAGGUCCAAAAAAUGAUACUAUAGCACAUGUGCCACCACCUCGAAAGGAAC